rnacentral:lncRNA from 1 species
GGUCGUCCACCUCCGGCACCGUCCUCGGCCCCCCGCCGUUUGCGCCAUCCGCUGCAUUGGCCCCUGGCCUCCCGGUGAAUCUGCAGCCACGCCUUCUGCGGCAGCCUCCUACGCCGCCCUCACCUACCCCACCCCGUGCACUCCCCCUACGCCGCCCCCGCUCCUACCCGCCGUUGCUCUGUACCUCCGGCAUUGCAUCUCGACCCCCCCUGCCAUCUCCGAUCACUCGCAUCAUCCUUGGUUGCCCACUCCAUUCGCUCAAAAACAAAAAAAAAAAUCUGAAAUCGUUGUUUGGUCCGACAAUUUCAAUAAAAUCUUUAUUUGGGAUGGGGAUUUCAAUUUUUUUCAUCUGAUCUAUCCAGCUAGUCUGGAGAUGGACUGGGUUGGCUGUGUAAUCACUAUUUAAAGUGAUGAUUUUAUAACGAUAGUUUUAAAAAUAAAU